GGGCUGGGUGGCGGUUGAGACAGCGGCGGUACUGGGAGGCGUAGGUGAGGGUCGUGAGGCUGCCUGAGCUUCUGAGCAAGCGCGGUGCUUUUGGGAACGCGGGACGGGCGAUCUGCGGCGCCAGGAGCUGGGCCGAGGCGUGGUGGCGCGGCUGCCGGCUGCCCUCUGAAUGGGAAGGUACGCGAAGUCCACCCGCGUUUCUGAGGCAAUCUGAAGGCAAAUCCUGUUUAGACCCAGGCGAAGGUUCCUGGUGACCCAGGCUCUCACCAGCCAAUUGUCCCUUGCCGUCCUCCUGAGGGCGUCUGGAGCUUCAGUGCUGUGUGCUCUUGGCCUCCACACUGGGGAUGCCACUGACUCCCACUGUCCAGGGCUUCCAGUGGACUCUCCGAGGCCCUGAUGUAGAAACUUCCCCAUUGGGUGCACCAAGAGCAGCCUCACAUGGUGUGGGCCGACAUCAAGAGCUGCCAGAUCCAACAGGUCCUGGGGGAGUAGGAGCCAGUGCAAGGAGAGAAGUCCAGUGAGAAAGACAAAUGGAUGACAUCAGACCCAGGGGCUGAGGUCCCCAGCUGCAGCUGGGUAGCUUCUGGAGUGGACAAGGAGCAACAGGGAAGUUCGUGGCCUGGUGUUCUGGGAUGCAUUGUCUUAUCUCAUUCUUGUGAGCACCAGAACUUAUCCAAAGACAAGACUCAGUGUCUCUGGCAACAGUGGGCCAGAGACAGAAUGUGUGAAUUUCAGAGGAGGAGGAAGGGGUUGUACCCCAUGGAAACAGUAUGUGGUUUUACAGUAGUGCAUCUUUCUCUAAUAACUGGUUAGCGUGUUCCUGUUAAUGGAAAAUAUUGGUGGUGUAAGUUUCCCCACUGUUCUCAUCUUCAUGUAAAUUUGUUCAUUUCCUUCCUUCC
rnacentral:sRNA from 1 species